rnacentral:rRNA from 1 species
AGUGAACGCUGGCGGUAGGCCUAACACAUGCAAGUCGAACGGCAGCACAGUAAGAGCUUGCUCUUACGGGUGGCGAGUGGCGGACGGGUGAGGAAUACAUCGGAAUCUACUUUUUCGUGGGGGAUAACGUAGGGAAACUUACGCUAAUACCGCAUACGACCUACGGGUGAAAGCAGGGGAUCUUCGGACCUUGCGCGUUUGAAUGAGCCGGUGUCGGAUUAGCUAGUUGGCGGGGUAAAGGCCCACCAAGGCGACGAUCCGUAGCUGGUCUGAGAGGAUGAUCAGCCACACUGGAACUGAGACACGGUCCAGACUCCUACGGGAGGCAGCAGUGGGGAAUAUUGGACAAUGGGCGCAAGCCUGAUCCAGCCAUACCGCGUGAGUGAAGAAGGCCUUCGGGUUGUAAAGCCCUUUUGUUGGGAAAGAAAAGCAGCAGGUUAAUACCCCGCUGUUCUGACGGUACCCAAAGAAUAAGCACCGGCUAACUUCGUG